UAAAUAGCAAUUCGUACAGCCCUGGACAACCAGUUUUGAAAUGUCCACCGGGAACAACACCUAGGGAGUCAUCUGCGACUUGUGUUGGAUGUCCGAAAGGAAGCUAUAUGGAAGCAAACGGCGUUUGUGAAAAAUGUACCGUUGGCACUUACCAAAACAAUUCUUAUGCCACGACGUGCAUUCCUUGCCCUGAACAAUCAAAUACAACAGGAACCGGUUCUGAUGAUAUUGAAAUGUGUCUUGGGUAUUGCACCGAAGGCCAGUUCUCCCAAAACGGUCUUACCCCUUGUGUCAAAUGCCCAGUAAACCUGUCCAGGCCAAA